rnacentral:lncRNA from 1 species
GGUAUGGACUAGGCCAUUGGGGCUAAAUGACUUGCCCAGGGUCACCCAGCUAGCUGGACACUUUUUCAGUCCCCUGACCAGGGAGGCUUCUUGUUGUUCAUGUGCCCGUUCAUUAUCCCUGCAGUGUCACCCCAACAGUAAAACAUGUUAGUGACUAUAAUGGACUAAUUUUCUCUUUGAAUUGUUUCCCACAGUCGAUUAUGUGCCAUACAACUCAGAUUAUGACAACCCUGAUGAUUUCUACGGAAGUGAGACUGAGGAUGAUUAUAACAAAGGUAAUUUAAUUUGAACUUUCUUUUUAAUUUUAUUUUUCUUCAGACUGAUUUACCUAUAAUGGACAAGAAAAGCAAAAGACUCAUUUCUAGUAUUUGGUUUCUAGCUAAGGUUUCUAGGUCCUUGGCUGUGUUUCAUUUCC